UGGACCAGUGAUGACGACUGGUGGCGUAUGAGUCCUAUACGAUGACUGCUCUGUGUCUGGAAGUCUGAGGUCCAC